GGGACGUCACUGACGCUCAUGCACGAAAGCGUGGGGAGCAAACAGGAUUAAAUACCCUGGUAGUCCACGCCCUAAACGAUGUCAACUAGUUGUUGGGGAUUCAUUUCUUCAGUAACGUAGCUAACGCGUGAAGUUGACCGCCUGGGGAGUACGGUCGCAAGAUUAAAACUCAAAGGAAUUGACGGGGACCCGCACAAGCGGUGGAUGAUGUGGAUUAAUUCGAUGCAACGCGAAAAACCUUACCUACCCUUGACAUGCCACUAACGAAGCAGAGAUGCAUUAGGUGCCCGAAAGGGGAGAUGUUGGGUUAAGUCCCGCAACGAGCGCAACCCUUGUCUCUAGUUGCUACGCAAGAGCACUCUAGAGAGACUGCCGGUGACAAACCGGAGGAAGGUGGGGAUGACGUCAAGUCCUCAUGGCCCUUAUGGGUAGGGCUUCACACGUCAUACAAUGGUGCGUACAGAGGGUUGCCAACCCGCGAGGGGGAGCUAAUCCCAGAAAACGCAUCGUAGUCCGGAUCGUAGUCUGCAACUCGACUACGUGAAGCUGGAAUCGCUA
rnacentral:rRNA from 1 species